rnacentral:rRNA from 1 species
UAGGGAAUCUUCGGCAAUGGGGGGAACCCUGACCGAGCAACGCCGCGUGAGUGAAGAAGGUUUUCGGAUCGUAAAGCUCUGUUGUUAAGGAAGAACGAGUGUGAGAAUGGAAAGUUCAUACUGUGACGGUACUUAACCAGAAAGGGACGGCUAACUACGUGCCAGCAGCCGCGGUAAUACGUAGGUCCCGAGCGUUGUCCGGAUUUAUUGGGCGUAAAGCGAGCGCAGGCGGUUAGAUAAGUCUGAAGUUAAAGGCAGUGGCUCAACCAUUGUAGGCUUUGGAAACUGUUUAACUUGAGUGCAGAAGGGGAGAGUGGAAUUCCAUGUGUAGCGGUGAAAUGCGUAGAUAUAUGGAGGAACACCGGUGGCGAAAGCGGCUCUCUGGUCUGUAACUGACGCGGAGGCUCGAAAGCGUGGGUAGCAAACAGG